rnacentral:rRNA from 1 species
UAGGGAAUAUUGGGCAAUGGGCGCAAGCCUGACCCAGCCAUGCCGCGUGGGCGAAGAAGGUCCUUUGGAUUGUAAAGCCCUUUUAUCCGGGAAUAAUGCUCCGCACGGCGGAGAGUGAAGGUACCGGAGGAAUCAGCACCGGCAAACUACGUGCCAGCAGCCGCGGUAAUACGGAGGAUGCAAGCGUUAUCCGGAAUUAUUGGGCGUAAAGCGUCCGUAGGUGGUUGUUCAAGUCUGCUGUUAAAGCGU